rnacentral:rRNA from 1 species
CGAGUGAAGAGGGAAAAGCUCAAAUUUUGAAUCUGGUACCUUCGGUGCCCGAGUUGUAAUCUAGAGAAGUGUUUUCUGCCUUGGACCACGCAUAAAUUCCCUGGAAUGGGGUGUCAUAGAGGGUGAGAAUCCCGUUUGUGGUGUGGACUACCUUGGCUCUGUGAUACACUCUCAACGAGUCGAGUUGUUUGGGAAUGCAGCUCAAAAUGGGUGGUAAAUUCCAUCUAAAGCUAAAUAUUGGCGAGAGACCGAUAGCGAACAAGUACCGUGAGGGAAAGAUGAAAAGCACUUUGGAAAGAGAGUGAAACAGUACGUGAAAUUGUUGGAAGGGAAGCGCUUGAGGUCAGUCACAUCUGUCAGGACUCAGCUAGGCUUCUGCCUGGUGUACUUCCUGGCCGGUGGGUCAGCGUCAGUUUUGACCGAGGGAGAAAGGCUUGGGGAAUGUGGCUGUCUUCGGGCGGUGUUAUAGCCCCUUGUUGUAUGUCUCGGUUGGGACUGAGGAUCGCAGCACGCCUUAUGGCCGGGGUUCGCGCCCUCGGUACGUGCUUAGGAUGCUGGCA